rnacentral:snoRNA from 1 species
AAGGCUAUACUUUCAGGGAUCAUUUCUAUAGUUGUUACUAGAGAAGUUUCUGAUUGUGUAGAGUACAGAAAAUAAUAUUAAAGUAAGACCAAAACUGA